GACGAACGCUGGCGGCGUGCCUAAUACAUGCAAGUUGAGCGCUGAAGGUUGGUACUUGUACCAACUGGAUGAGCAGCGAACGGGUGAGUAACGCGUGGGGAAUCUGCCUUUGAGCGGGGAACAACAUUUGGAAACGAAUGCUAAUACCGCAUAAAAACUUUAAACACAAGUUUUAAGUUUGAAAGAUGCAAUUGCAUCACUCAAAGAUGAUCCCGCGUUGUAUUAGCUAGUUGGUGAGGUAAAGGCUCACCAAGGCGAUGAUAUAUAGCCGACCUGAGAGGGUGAUCGGCCACAUUGGGACUGAGACACGGCCCAAACUCCUACGGGAGGCAGCAGUAGGGAAUCUUCGGCAAUGGACGAAAGUCUGACCGAGCAACGCCGCGUGAGUGAAGAAGGGUUUCGGAUCGUAAAACUCUGUUGGUAGAGAAGAACGUUGGUGAGAGUGGAAAGCUCAUCAAGUGACGGUAACUACCCAGAAAGGGACGGCUAACUACGUG
rnacentral:rRNA from 1 species